UGCAGCAGGCGCGAAAACUUUACAAUGCGGGAAACCGUGAUAAGGGGACACCGAGUGCCAGCAUCAUAUGCUGGCUGUCCAGGUGUGUAAACUACACCUGUUAGCAAGGGCCGGGCAAGACCGGUGCCAGCCGCCGCGGUAACACCGGCGGCCCGAGUGGUGAUCGUGAUUAUUGGGUCUAAAGGGUCCGUAGCCGGUUUGGUCAGUCCUCCGGGAAAUCUGACGGCUCAACCGUUAGGCUUUCGGGGGAUACUGCCAGGCUUGGAACCGGGAGAGGUAAGAGGUACUACAGGGGUAGGAGUGAAAUCUUGUAAUCCCUGUGGGACCACCUGUGGCGAAGGCGUCUUACCAGAACGGGUUCGACGGUGAGGGACGAAAGCUGGGGGCACGAACCGGAUUAGAUACCCGGGUAGUCCCAGCCGUAAACGAUGCUCGCUAGGUGUCAGGCAUGGCGCGACCGUGUCUGGUGCCGCAGGGAAGCCGUGAAGCGAGCCACCUGGGAAGUACGGCCGCAAGGCUGAAACUUAAAGGAAUUGGCGGGGGAGCACAAGGGCGAAUCGCGG
rnacentral:rRNA from 1 species